AAAUUAUUCUGGUGGCGACAUCAACCUGAAGUUACAAAAACAUACCAUACUCCUGGUGUUUGAUUGAUACUUGCCAUAUUGUCAUAUUCUUUGAUAUUUUAUGCUUGAAUCGGUAAGAGUGACAGCAAAUGACAACAUGAAAUCAAAGUUGAAUGUAUAGGGUAAACUGUAUCAAAGGUGCUCUUGCACAAUAAAGGCCUUUGGUUUUGCUGGACGAAUUCAUUGUGCAGACUCCACAGAUCAUGUAAAGUCCAGUUUUUGAUCUCUAAGGAACUCAUCCUUCAGGUGAGUGGUUCAUGGGAAGGCUUGUCUUGCAUGCUAGCUGAGUACACACCCAUGGUACUCCAUAGAUACGGUUGAGGAAGAAGUUAACAGCAGUAUGACCGAAAGAUGUUUAUUGUAGUUAAUCAAGUUUUAACACCAACUUGUUGAUCAAGGGAAGGUAAUGUGCAUGAAAAUACUGAGUCCUCUUGUACGGGUUGCAAGCAGCUACAACUAAUGUUACAUUAUAGAUGGACACAAUAACAUCUUCGAUCAUGAACAACAUUGUCGAUCAUCAUAAAAUGGAAUAACAAAGAUGCAGGUUCCUUCAAUACCAAGACUGAUUCUUUUUCAGGAUUACUUUACAGAAUGAUGAAUGAGUUGGUUGGAAUUUCUCACCCUAGGAAAAGCAUGUUUUGGCUAAGAGAAGAAUUUUGUCAGUGUUUAUGAUCAGGAUUAGACUCUGACAUUUUUGAAGUUGAUUAUAUGGGACAAGACAGGUUUAGUCAUUUUACCAGUAUCUUGUACUUAUUCUUUUUUGAAUUAACAUGGGUAAUGCACGGAUAUCUUGCCUUAUGUUUGCAAUAGCAUUCACUUUGUUUGCUUCUCCUUCUUAGUAAGUUAUAAGCCCAAAACAUAAUUUAUCUUAUAUUUUCUUUCUGAUACAUAAUCCUAUAUUGUCACAUCCAAGUUGAUGAUAAUUACUUCACACUAAUGUAUACAAACGAACUGAUCUUGGAAACAAGUAAAGAGUAGAUACAACCACGGGCAACUGGGAUCUUAGAUAUUGUUAAAUAAGGUGAUGCGGUAAUACAUGGACUGGAUCCAAAGAUAUCACAAAAACUGUUGAAAAGAGAAGAAACAAGAAGAAUCAUUAUUUUAUUAUAAUAAAUGUGUAUUUGGAAUAAAAGGAAAAUGUUCUCUGAAAAAAUAUCCUUAGGAAAAAAGUUCCUAUUUUGUUUUUCCAGUCAACAUCUGAAUUCGAACCGUCGAUCUUGGCCAUUCAUUAUCCCUAUUGUCCUCUCUGCUCAAAAAAUUAUAGCAAGACUUCAAGUUAACUUCCCAUGUUUUCUUCCUUUUGGCUGUCACUGUUGAGUGCCGAAUUACCCUUUAGUUAUUCAUGACUGUUAUUCACUUGAUCCUUGACCAGGAUAUGAAACUGAUAGUAGCUCUAUAAAAGUACAAUUUGCAAUCAGCUCGCUAAGUUAGUUGGAGAUCAUGAUGAUGACUUCAGCAUUCCCUUGAGUAAGAAUCUGAAGAAGGUCAGUACCAAGUUCUUAACUAUUUCACAGAAGAAGAAACACCAGAAGACAAGCCUACAGGGAUGAAGUAUCUCAGAGGAAAUGACUUUAUUUCUUUGUUGCAAUUGGAGCAUUUGUCAUUCUUCCACCCCUUGUUCCUUUAGGAAUUGAAAUCGAGACGGCUUAUGUGCAGUUAUUUCCAUGACUUGUAUAAAUACUUCACAGAUAUAUUCAAUAUUUCUGUUACUAAUAUAGUGAAACUGUGUAAGUUUGUUGAAGUCCUUGUUAACACUUGAGAAGAAUGGUCAUUAGGAGUUGUAGACUAACUGUACUUUGUAUUAUCGCAUAUGUACUGUCUAACAUUAGCAACAAGUGAUUCUUAACAAAAGGUGAUACACUGGGGGCAUUUUUAUCUUUCUUGAGUGUCCAUUGUCAUUCUAGGUGUCACCACAAGAACUGUUUCUGGUUAGAACAAGCAGUGUGUAUUGUGAAUCUCUCAUGAUGGUGAAUCCAGUUCUGUUUAGUGCAUCUUCAGAUCAAGUGCAGAUAUAAUGAGUAAUCAUCGACUUCCAGGAAAGAGUAGAAGAAUGGGACCUAUUAUGGGACAUACAAUGCAUUACAGACGUAUGAUUGUUACACUUCAUCAGGGCCCAUUUUUCUUGGAGCAGAUAGAUGAAGAGGAUAACAACAAUCUCAACAGUAAAAGCCAGGUUCCAAACACUCGUGCUUCUCAUAGUUCUUCUGUGAUAUGACUGUAAACCUGUAUAUAUGUUGAUAAUUCCCAGUAAAGAAACUGUCACUCCUAGAAGCCAGUGAACUGAAAACCAUAUACUCCUUCCUUUGCUUUCUCUGUACAGGAAU